GAUGAACGCUAGCGGCAGGCUUAACACAUGCAAGUCGAGGGGCAGCACGGGUAGCAAUAUCUGGUGGCGACCGGCGCAAGGGUGCGUAACGCGUGAGCAACAUGCCCGUAUCAGGGGGAUAAUCCAGGGAAACUUGGUCUAAUACCCCAUAGCAAUUAAAGGAGGCAUCUUUUUAAUUUAAAGCUUUGGUGGAUACGGAUUGGCUCGCGUGACAUUAGCUAGAUGGUAAGGUAACGGCUUACCAUGGCUACGAUGUCUAGGGGUUCUGAGAGGAAGAUCCCCCACACUGGAACUGAGACACGGUCCAGACUCCUACGGGAGGCAGCAGUGAGGAAUAUUGGACAAUGGAUGGAAAUCUGAUCCAGCCAUGCCGCGUGCAGGAAGACGGCCCUAUGGGUUGUAAACUGCUUUUGAUGGGAGCAAUAAGGUCUAUGCGUAGACUGAUGAGAGUACCAUACGAAUAAGCAUCGGCUAACUCCG
rnacentral:rRNA from 1 species